AUUGAACGCUGGCGGAAUGCUUUACACAUGCAAGUCGAACGGCAGCACGGACUUCGGUCUGGGGGCGAGUGGCGAACGGGUGAGUAAUGUCUCGGAAUGUGCCCAGUCGUGGGGGAUAACGUAGUAAAAAUUACGCUAAUACCGCAUACGAUCUAUGGAUGAAAGCGGGGGAUCGCAAGACCUCGCGCGAUCGGAGCGGCCGAUAUCAGAUUAGGUAGUUGGUGGGGUAAAGGCCCACCAAGGCAACGAUCUGUAGCUGGUCUGAGAGGACGACCAGCCACACUGGAACUGAGACACGGUCCAGACUCCUACGGGAGGCAGCAGUGGGGAAUUUUGGACAAUGGGCGAAAGCCUGAUCCAGCCAUUCCGCGUGCAGGAUGAAGGCCCUCGGGUUGUAAACUGCUUUUGUACAGAACGAAAAGGUUUCUACUAAUACUAGGAGCUCAUGACGGUACUGUAAGAAUAAGCACCGGCUAACUACGUGCCAGCAGCCGCAGUAA
rnacentral:rRNA from 1 species